rnacentral:rRNA from 1 species
AACUCUAUGCGAUGGAACACUUGGCUCGUGGUUCGAUUAAGAGCGAAGCCAACUGUGUGAAUUAACGUGAAUCACAGACUUCUUUGAAUAUCAACCUCUUGAACGCGAAUUGCGGCCAUAUGCUUGCCAACGACCACAUCUGGCCGAGAGUCG